CUCAGCAUCACAGACCUACAACACAGACCUGAUUGUGUUGCAGUAUGAGAUCCUGCUGUGUAUCCAGGAUCUAGACGACCCAGCUGUUGAUGUGUGUAAAAAGCUGUUGGGGAAAUAUCCCAACGUAGACGCUCGCUUAUUCAUCGUUUGAUUUAAAGUCAGCUUCUUCAUCACUCUGAAGAGGAGAUCUCAACACCUCAGGAGGACCAGAGACCUGGAGAUGGAGGCUAAAGCGUCAACACCACCAACAACAACAACAAAUAGUAUGGGGGCUACAGGGUCAACACCACCAACAACAACAACAGAUAGCAUGGGGGCUACAGGGUCAACACCACCAACAACAACAACAGAUAGCAUGGGGGCUACAGGGUCAACACCACCAACAACAACAACAAC